UGGAUAAAUUUGUACAAAAAGAAAAGGACUCCCUCGAGCCAAAAUACAUCAUUGAUUCCAUUAGUGAUAGUGAAAGUCAUCCUACACAAUAACCCUCCUCUCUCGUCUCCCUCACACUAACCAAGUUUUUCAAAGGACCAUGAUAAGCCACUGAGUACCCUUGUUGAAGAUAGAAAAUAAAGUCUUCUUCCAAGUAGAUACAACCUCAUGCUGUUUGGCACUAUGCUAAGUACUGCGAAUAAGAAAGAUUAUGUACCUUUGAGUAACAAACAUCUAAGUGGAAGUAUCAGAAAGAGAUAAAGUUUUCAAGACUAUGGCAAA